CCUACGGGUGGCAGCAGUGAGGAAUAUUGGUCAAUGGACGAGAGUCUGAACCAGCCAAGUAGCGUGAAGGAUGACUGCCCUAUGGGUUGUAAACUUCUUUUAUAUGGGAAUAAAACAGGGUAUGCAUACCCUCUUGUAUGUACCAUAUGAAUAAGGAUCGGCUAACUCCGUGCCAGCAGCCGCGGUAAUACGGAGGAUCCGAGCGUUAUUCGGAUUUAUUGGGUUUAAAGGGAGCGUAGGUGGAUUGUUAAGUCAGUUGUGAAAGUUUGCGGCUCAACCGUAAAAUUGCAUUUGAAACUGGCAGUCUUGAGUACGGUAGAGGUAGGCGGAAUUCGUGGUGUAGCGGUAAAAUGCGUAGAGAUCAAGAAGAAUACCGAUUGCGAAGGCAGCCCACUAGA
rnacentral:rRNA from 1 species